rnacentral:rRNA from 1 species
GUGGGGAAUCUUCCGCAAUGGACGAAAGUCUGACGGAGCAACGCCGCGUGAGUGAUGAAGGUCUUCGGAUUGUAAAGCUCUGUUAAUCGGGACGAAAGAGCCUAGUGUGAAUAAUGCUAGGAAGUGACGGUACCGGAAUAGAAAGCCACGGCUAACUACGUGCCAGCAGCCGCGGUAAUACGUAGGUGGCAAGCGUUGUCCGGAAUUAUUGGGCGUAAAGCGCGCGUAGGCGGAUCUGCCAGUCUGUCUUAAAAGUUCGGGGCUUAACCCCGUGAUGGGAUGGAAACUACAGAUCUAGAGUAUCGGAGAGGAAAGUGGAAUUCCUAGUGUAGCGGUGAAAUGCGUAGAUAUUAGGAAGAACACCAGUGGCGAAGGCGACUUUCUGGACGACAACUGACGCUGAGGCGCGAAAGCCAGGGGAGCAAACGGGAUUAGAUACCCGUGUAGUCC